rnacentral:rRNA from 1 species
UGCCCAAGAGACUGGGAUAACACCUGGAAACAGAUGCUAAUACCGGAUAACAACACUAGACGCAUGUCUAGAGUUUAAAAGAUGGUUCUGCUAUCACUCUUGGAUGGACCUGCGGUGCAUUAGCUAGUUGGUAAGGCAACGGCUUACCAAGGCAAUGAUGCAUAGCCGAGUUGAGAGACUGAUCGGCCACAUUGGGACUGAGACACGGUCCAAACUCCUACGGGAGGCAGCAGAG